rnacentral:rRNA from 1 species
UACAGAGGGUGCAAGCGUUAAUCGGAAUUACUGGGCGUAAAGCGCGCGUAGGUGGUUGUGUAAGUUGGAUGUGAAAGCCCCGGGCUUAACCUGGGAACUGCAUUCAAAACUGCACGGCUAGAGUACGGGAGAGGGGGGUAGAAUUCCAGGUGUAGCGGUGAAAUGCGUAGAGAUCUGGAGGAAUACCGAUGGCGAAGGCAGCCCCCCUGGCCUGAUACUGACACUGAGGUGCGAAAGCAUGGGGAGCAAACAGGAUUAGAACCGUACCGU